CUAGGUGGGUCUCGAGCGGCGACGGGUGAGUAACACGUGAGUAAUCUGCCCUCCACUUUGGGAUAGCCACCGGAAACGGUGAUUAAUACCGGAUAUGACCAUUGCCUGCAUGGGUUUUGGUGGAAAGUUUUUCGGUGGGGGAUGUGCUCGCGGCCUAUCAGCUUGAUGGUGGGGUAAUGGCCUACCAUGGCUUCGACGGGUAGCCGGCCUGAGAGGGUGACCGGCCACACUGGGACUGAGACACGGCCCAGACUCCUACGGGAGGCAGCAGUGGGGAAUAUUGGACAAUGGGCGGAAGCCUGAUCCAGCAACGCCGCGUGAGGGAUGACUGCCUUCGGGUUGUAAACCUCUUUCAGCACAGACGAAGCGAAAGUGACGGUAUGUGCAGAAGAAGCACCGGCCAACUACGUGCCAGCAGCCGCGGUAAUACGUAGGGUGCGAGCGUUGUCCGGAAUUAUUGGGCGUAAAGGGCUCGUAGGCGGUUUGUCGCGUCGGGAGUGAAAACACACAGCUUAACUGUGUGCUUGCUUCCGAUACGGGCAGACUAGAGGUAUGCAGGGGAGAACGGAAUUCCUGGUGUAGCGGUGAAAUGCGCAGAUAUCAGGAGGAACACCGGUGGCGAAGGCGGUUCUCUGGGCAUUACCUGACGCUGAGGAGCGAAAGUGUGGGGAGCGAACAGGAUUAGAUACCCUGGUAGUCCACACCGUAAACGUUGGGCGCUAGGUGUGGGGCCUAUUCCAUGGGUUCCGUGCGCAGCUAACGCAUUAAGCGCCCCGCCUGGGGGAGUACGGCCGCAAGGCUAAAACUCAAAGGAAAU
rnacentral:rRNA from 1 species